CGCGGGAUAGAGCAGUUGGUAGCUCGUUAGGCUCAUAACCUAAAGGUCGUCAGUUCGAGUCUGGCUCCCGCUA
rnacentral:tRNA from 1 species